UUCCUUUUGAGUGACAUGUGUAAAAAGUAGGCCCUGCCCGGUGAUUUGUUUAACGGCUGCAGUGUGAACUGUACUAAGGUAGCGCAAUCAUUUGUCUUUUAAUUGGGGGCGGGUAUGAAUGGGUUGACGUAUUAUUGGCUGUCUUAUAUUAAUUAUUAAAAUUUUAUUUUUAGGUGAAAAAGCCUAGAUUGUAUCAAGGGACGAGAAGACCCUAUGAAACUUUACUGUACAAAUAUGUGUAAAUGUGUUUACACAGGUUUGAGGUGGUUUAGCUGGGGACGCAUGGUGCAUGGAGUACUUGAUUAAUUUGGCCCGCUAUGAGCGAAAAAAGAGAGUUACUCUAGGGAUAACAGCGUAAUUUACUUGGUGAGUUCUUAUCUAUAAGUGAGUUUGCGACCUCGAUGUUGGACUAGGAUUUCCUUUGGGUGCAGCAGCUUAAAAGGGUUAGUCUGUUCGACUAUUAAUAUCCUACG
rnacentral:rRNA from 1 species